GUGGGGAAUUUUGGACAAUGGGCGCAAGCCUGAUCCAGCAAUGCCGCGUGCAGGAAGAAGGCCUUCGGGUUGUAAACUGCUUUUGUACGGAACGAAACGGUCCUGGCUAAUAUCCGGGGCUAAUGACGGUACCGUAAGAAUAAGCACCGGCUAACUACGUGCCAGCAGCCGCGGUAAUACGUAGGGUGCGAGCGUUCAUCGGAAUUACUGGGCGUAACGCGUGCGCAGGCGGUGCUGUAAGACAGGCGUGAAAUCCCCGGGCUCAACCUGGGAAUUGCGCUUGUGACUGCAGUGCUGGAGUGCGGCAGAGGGGGAUGGAAUUCCGCGUGUAGCAGUGAAAUGCGUAGAGAUGCGGAGGAACACCGAUGGCGAAGGCAAUCCCCUGGGCCUGCACUGACGCUCAUGCACGAAAGCGUGGGGAGCAAACAGGAUUAGAUACCCUGGUAGUCC
rnacentral:rRNA from 1 species